GAGCAGGCACCGUGCCAUGAUGAUGUCAGAGUUUUGCACUUGGAGCCGGUUCCCAUGAUCGGCGACUGAUUCCCCUCCACCGUGGAAUUGCCGGACCACCCCUGGGGAAAGGGGGCCAGCCAGAGAGGACUAGUGGCUGAAGACGUGUGAGCAUAUUAGACUCUCCAAGAGAGUGAGUGUCAAGUGAGAAGAACUGUGGACCCAGAACUGAGUCUUGUGGAUCACCCCACUGAAAGGACGUCCAUCAUGUUUCCAGAUCUGGUAACUCGGAAAAUGCUGUUGGUGCCCAUGUGUGUUUGUUGUUCGUGUGGUUUAUAUUUUUUCUACCAAAUCAGUAAAGGUAAUCGGAUACUUGUCCACUUUCCUUCUGGA